rnacentral:rRNA from 1 species
AUUGAACGCUGGCGGCAUGCCUUACACAUGCAAGUCGAACGGCAGCAUGAUCUAGCUUGCUAGAUUGAUGGCGAGUGUCGAACGGGUGAGUAAUACAUCGGAACGUGCCCUGUAGUGGGGGAUAACUAGUCGAAAGAUUAGCUAAUACCGCAUACGACCUGAGGGUGAAAGUGGGGGACCGCAAGGCCUCAUGCUAUAUGAGCGGCCGAUGUCUGAUUAGCUAGUUGGUGAGGUAAAGGCUCACCAAGGCGACGAUCAGUAGCUGGUCUGAGAGGACGAUCAGCCACACUGGGACUGAGACACGGCCCAGACUCCUACGGGAGGCAGCAGUGGGGAAUUUUGGACAAUGGGCGAAAGCCUGAUCCAGCAAUGCCGCGUGUGUGAAGAAGGCCUUCGGGUUGUAAAGCACUUUUGUCCGGAAAGAAAUGGAUCUGGUUAAUACCUGGGGUCGAUGACGGUACCGGAAGAAUAAGGACCGGCUAACUACGUG